rnacentral:tRNA from 1 species
GCCCCUGUAGCUCAAUGGACAGAGCGACGGACUUCUAAUCCGCAGGUUCCGGGUUCGAGUCCCGGCGGGGGCA